CGCGUGAGUGAGUGAGUGCGUGAGUGAGUGCGAGCGCGCGCGCGCGCGCUUUGUCGUUUCCUGUGCAGGCUCUUUAUCCAGACACGGAGCAUGGCGGCCACUGAGAUAGCCCGACAAGCAGGAGAGGGAGCUCGCGCAGUGCCACUCUCUGGCCAUGUUGGCUUUGACAGCAUGCCAGACCAGCUGGUCAACAAGUCUGUUAACCAAGGCUUCUGCUUCAACAUCCUCUGCAUUGGGGAGACAGGGUUGGGAAAGUCCACUCUCAUGGACACCCUGUUCAACACCAAGUUUGAGGGUGAACCAACUCAGCACAACCAGCCUGGAGUGCAGCUCAAGUCCAACACGUAUGAACUGCAGGAGAGCAAUGUGCGCCUUAAGCUCACCAUUGUUAACACGGUUGGCUUCGGAGACCAGAUCAACAAAGAGGAAAGCUACAAACCAAUUGUGGAGUUCAUCGACACUCAGUUUGAGGCCUACCUUCAAGAAGAGCUGAAGAUCAAGAGAACCCUUCACAGUUAUCAUGACACGCGUAUUCAUUCCUGUUUGUACUUCAUUGCACCCACUGGACACUCAUUAAAAUCUCUGGAUCUGGUGACCAUGAAGAAGCUGGACAGUAAGGUGAAUAUUAUCCCCAUCAUUGCCAAGUCAGAUGCCAUCUCAAAGAGUGAACUGGCCAAGUUCAAGAUUAAGAUUACCAGUGAGCUUGUCAGCAACGGAGUGCAGAUUUACCAGUUCCCUAUUGAUGAUGAAACCGUGGCAGAGAUCAACUCCACCAUGAAUGGCCAUUUGCCGUUUGCAGUAGUGGGAAGUACAGAGGAAGUGAAGAUCGGGAACAAGAUGGUGAAAGCACGGCAGUACCCAUGGGGAACUGUUCAGGUGGAAAAUGAGAACCACUGUGACUUUGUGAAACUGAGAGAGAUGCUGAUCCGAGUGAACAUGGAGGAUCUGAGGGAGCAGACCCACACACGCCACUACGAGCUCUAUCGCCGAUGCAAACUGGAGGAGAUGGGCUUUAAAGACACAGAUCCUGAUAGUAAACCUUUCAGCCUGCAGGAGACUUAUGAGGCCAAGAGGAAUGAGUUCAUGGGUGAGCUGCAGAAGAAGGAAGAAGAAAUGAGGCAGAUGUUUGUUCAGAGAGUGAAAGAGAAAGAGGCUGAGCUGAAGGAAGCAGAAAAGGAGCUGCAUGAAAAGUUUGACCGUCUGAAGAAGCUGCACCAGGAUGAGAAGAAGAAGCUGGAAGAUAAAAAGAAGGCUCUUGAUGACGAGCUGAACCUCUUCAAGCAGAAGAAAACGGCAGCUGAACUCCUGCAGUCCCAGGCCCAGCAAGCAGGCAGUUCCACCACACUCAAAAGGGACAAAGAGAGAAAAAACUGAUUUGACCACUUCAACAGACCAUUAUAACGGAGGAAGGCACUCACACUGAGAAGCUUCUUUUAAAUCUCUCGUGGCCACCUGUCAGAAGAGGGGAUCACAGCUUCCUCAAGAACUAAGCACCCGUUUCCUCUUCCUGUCUUUCACUCUGUUAGCCUUUUUUCUUCUGGAACCUCUGUUGUCUGCUCAGUUGAACAUGGUCAUAUGUGGGCUUUACAUGGUAUUUUCUCCCAGAAGUAUUUGCUCUUUUCUAUUUAGGCACAUUAAACAGUCCCACACUAAUAUUUUUAUAGACUUUGUGAAGAUACUGGAACCAAAGUUCUGGUAGUAAAAAAAGAGCAUGAAGUGAAAAAGAAAUUAUUGUAAAAACAUCAGUUUUUAUCAAUUUUAACAUAUUGCUUUUGCAACAUAGCUUUCAUUUAAGCCCCCAUCUUUUGCAUUUACACAUCAGUUUUUAUUGUGAAGAUGUGUUUUUGUUGACUCUGACUGUGAGAUAGAAAAACCCAAAGAAAAAUUGCAUUAUACUGUUUAAUUAUAUAGAUUCUUUAUCAUAAAUCCAUGGAAUAAAUCUAAAGUUGCUCAUAGUGCACAGUUAUUUAAGUCAGGCUGAUUUUAAGUUUGCGUUCCGGUGAUACAACACUAAUUUUUCACCGUCCUCUAAUUUGUUGAAUUUUAAAAGAUUUAUGGUUUAAAACAGCCCUUCUGAAUACCAUGUAGGUCACAUUCAGAGCCCCCUUUUUCAUUUCAUGCUUUGCCUUAUCUAAUCAGCCUUUGCAUGGUUAUGCUUCUGCAGUGUAAAUGUUUUCUGUUUGCUUUUUUUCCUCAUUGGCAGUUAUUACAGGUUCAUUCUCAGUCAGAUAUUGCUGCAGAUUUCUACUAAAAACCAUGUUCUGGAAAUGCUACACAUUUACGUAUAUAGUUUUGGCAGUUUAAUAUUCACAAUGGCAGUCACAGAUAUCUGUGCAUAUUUAUAUAUAAUUUAUAAGGAUCUAUUUUGUGUAUUGAAGUAGAACUGUGCUGAUGAUCAGUCACACUGUUGGUAGGUGGUCAUUCUGGUUGUCAGACUCCCAUCGUUAUUGUAGCAUCUUUCAUCAGUUACUCUCCAGCGCCUGUCCUAUCCCAAAGUUGUGAAAUAUUUCAUUGUGCUAAAAUUGCAUCUGUUUACAUUUUCAAUAAAAAAAAAAACCUCAAAA